UCAAAUCACGCUGAAACACCGGUUCUCGUACGAUCACCGAAGUUAAGCAGCGUAGAGUCAGGUCAGUACUUAGAUGGGGGACCGCUUGGGAACACCUGGUACUGUAAG
rnacentral:rRNA from 1 species